GUCAAUAGUGAAUUUUUACGGUGUGUCCCAAUGCAGUGUAUUUGUGUGUGUAAACCUUUGUGAAUAAUAUAUAUGUUAUUAUAUAAUUAAACAUGCUUAAUUAAUCUCUUAACUUUCAACCAUCUGUAAGAAUUUUGACUGAUGAAGCUUCUAGUAAAUUCAAUUAAAUUUAAACCAACAUUAAACAUAUACAGUCAUAUGCAAAAGUGUGUACACCCCUGACAGUUUCCAUGUUUUUCAUUUAUACAUAUUUGGGUGUUUGGAUCAGCCAUUUCAUAUUGAUCUAUCAAAUAACUUAAGGGGACAGUAAUAUUUCAGUAGUGAAAUUAGGUUUAUUGGAUUAACAGAAAAUUUGCAAUAUGCAUCAAAAUUAGACGGGUGAAAAAAUUUGGGCAGGUGCUGAUCCAAACACCCAAAUAUUUAUAAAUGAAAAUCAUGGAAAUUGUCAGGUGUGCCCAAACUUUUGCAUACAACUGUUAGCUGUCCCUGAUGUCUUAUCCUGAAGCUAGUCUGUGCGAAUCAUACACUACGUGAUUUUCCAAAACUGGUAUAACGGGUGAAAAGUUUCAACCUGAGAACUCUUAAAUGGCAGUGCGUUAUAGUGAGGUGGCAUUUAGAGAAUAAGGGACAGAAGUUGAGCACUGAACAGAGUCAGGGUUUAUCACUACCAGCAGGUGCAACCCGUCCCAGGUCCUUCACGCUUUAACAGUGCAUUCAUCAAGGACAGACAGUAGUCUAGAAUCUUUUCUUAGAGGUUUUGGUGCAAAAGUUUUGAAGUAAAAAAUUAUACAUCUGGUUUUGGUCAUAUGUAAAGCUCAGUAUUAUUGGCAAAACAGUGAAAAAUAAAUCUAUUCCUGACAGUGUCUCAUAGGGAAAGCAUAUGCAAAAGGAAAAAUGAGAGGACCUAGCACUGAGCCAUGUGGCACUCCACAUUUAACUUGUAAUUUCUUCAUUCAACAAUUGUACUUUAACCAUGUUAAUGUCUGUCUGAAAAUGGCAAAAUAUUUCUACAAUCCAUCCAAUACACAGUCAUUAUGAUGUAUAUUGCAAUAGCAGAAUUAUUUGGCUGUGGUCAGAUGUUUAAAAGCUGUUUUUUAACAUUUGGAGAAAUUAAAGUAAAAGCCUUUCUCAUUAGCUGGGUAGGUUUCUGUCAUCAAAUGUAACAUGACAACGUGAUUGUUUUCAGAAUAGAGAACUCUCAGUUUCAUUGUUCAGCCAAACAGACAGCAAACUCACAUCAUUGGAUGAGCCAGUAUAGGGAUGGCUGGUAUAUUUAAACAGCAAUAUUUUUAAAGCACCAGAGAGUUACAGUGUUUAAUAUUAAAAGAUUACUCCAUCAUGAAAUGGAUAUAUGAAUAUGGACAUGAAUAUGUCAUGAAAAAUUGUAAUGUCUAUCUUUGUUUAGUCGAAAAAUUACUUUUUUUU